UGGGGAAUAUUGGACAAUGGGCGAAAGCCUGAUCCAGCCAUGCCGCGUGUGUGAAGAAGGUCUUCGGAUUGUAAAGCACUUUAAGUUGGGAGGAAGGGCAGUAAGUUAAUACCUUGCUGUUUUGACGUUACCGACAGAAUAAGCACCGGCUAACUCUGUGCCAGCAGCCGCGGUAAUACAGAGGGUGCAAGCGUUAAUCGGAAUUACUGGGCGUAAAGCGCGCGUAGGUGGUUUGUUAAGUUGGAUGUGAAAUCCCCGGGCUCAACCUGGGAACUGCAUCCAAAACUGGCAAGCUAGAGUAUGGUAGAGGGUGGUGGAAUUUCCUGUGUAGCGGUGAAAUGCGUAGAUAUAGGAAGGAACACCAGUGGCGAAGGCGACCACCUGGACUGAUACUGACACUGAGGUGCGAAAGCGUGGGGAGCAAACAGGAUUAGAUACCCAGGUAGUCCCUGAGCGGGCUGGCAAGGCGCAU
rnacentral:rRNA from 1 species